rnacentral:pre_miRNA from 1 species
GUACUACUCCCUCCGUCCCAUAAUUCUUGUCUCAAAUUUGCCCCAAAAUGGAUGUAUCUAUUCCUAAAAAGCGUCUAGAUACAUGUAAUAUUUUGACAAGAAUUAUGGGACGGAGGGAGUAGUAG